UUGAAAAUCUGCAAGUGUGGGUGUGGGGGUUGAUUGCUGGAAGUGGGCUUUCGAUACAUCAGGUAUGUUCACUGUUCGAAGUUUCAGGAAUCAUCUGCAUCAGGCUAUUAAGGUUAAUUUCCUGGACUGGAGAGUGUCACUAAAUAGGGUCUCAACGAACCUGGAGGAUGUUUUGUCCAUGGUAUGUCCUUUGAUUCGUGCCAGCUGUACCGGAGACAGUGGAUUAUCAAAUUUAAUGAUAAUGUUCUGGGAGACUUCAAUGGUGAAGCUGUGAUAGGCCAGUUUCCCUUGUUAUGAUCGGGGGAGAAAGAGUUUGUUUACGAAUGCUGCAUAACUUCUACGGCUUCACCUGCAUCGAUAGAGGGUUCUUACGUGUUUAUCCCGGGCAGGCGUGUCGUGCUAUGCUCAUCAUAUCAUUUUUAAGCAUUUGUAUUAGAUAAAUUUGUAAAAUGUGUGUAAUCUGUUUGCAGAUUGGCGGAUCCACAAGGAAGCCCCUUUGAGGUUGAAAUUGCUAGAUUUCCUUUGGUUUUGCCAGAGUACAUCUUCUGAUGCAACUAUUCUGUUAUCCAUGGUCACUAUCUUGGCUUAAAGCCGUUUGUUUGAUUUCUGUCUCGACCCGUUAGUUAUACUUGUUAGGUAACUGGCUCGCUCUUGGUCUUUUCGGGUUGGGUCUGUUCACAACUGAAUAUCGUUUUAAGGUU
rnacentral:lncRNA from 1 species